rnacentral:tRNA from 1 species
GUCCUCGUGACGGAACUGGUAGACGACGUCGGUCGAGAGCCGGCGGCCUUCGAGGCGUGAGGGUUCGAAUCCCUCCGAGGACACCA